rnacentral:rRNA from 1 species
GACGAACGCUGGCGGCGCGCUUAACACAUGCAAGUCGAACGAAGAGCGAUGGAAGCUUGCUUCUAUCAAUCUUAGUGGCGAACGGGUGAGUAACGCGUAAUCAACCUGCCCUUCAGAGGGGGACAACAGUUGGAAACGACUGCUAAUACCGCAUACGAUCUAAUCUCGGCAUCGAGGAUAGAUGAAAGGUGGCCUCUACAUGUAAGCUAUCACUGAAGGAGGGGAUUGCGUCUGAUUAGCUAGUUGGAGGGGUAACGGCCCACCAAGGCGAUGAUCAGUAGCCGGUCUGAGAGGAUGAACGGCCACAUUGGGACUGAGACACGGCCCAGACUCCUACGGGAGGCAGCAGUGGGGAAUCUUCCGCAAUGGACGAAAGUCUGACGGAGCAACGCCGCGUGAGUGAUGACGGCCUUCGGGUUGUAAAGCUCUGUUAAUCGGGACGAAAGGCCUUCUUGCGAAUAGUGAG